rnacentral:rRNA from 1 species
CUACGGGGCGCUCCAGUGGGGAAUAUUGCACAAUGGGCGCAAGCCUGAUGCAGCCAUGCCGCGUGUAUGAAGAAGGCCUUCGGGUUGUAAAGUACUUUCAGCGGGGAGGAAGGGAGUAAAGUUAAUACCUUUGCUCAUUGAUGUUACCCGCAGAAGAAGCACCGGCUAACUCCGUGCCAGCAGCCGCGGUAAUACGGAGGGUGCAAGCGUUAAUCGGAAUUACUGGGCGUAAAGCGCACGCAGGCGGUUUGUUAAGUCAGAUGUGAAAUCCCCGGGCUCAACCUGGGAACUGCAUCUGAUACUGGCAAGCGUGAGUCUCGUAGAGGGGGGUAGAAUUCCAGGUGUAGCGGUGAAAUGCGUAGAGAUCUGGAGGAAUACCGGUGGCGAAGGCGGCCCCCUGGACGAAGACUGACGCUCAGGUGCGAAAGCGUGGGGAGCAAACAGGAUUAGAUACCCCCGUAGUC